ensembl:rRNA 5S_rRNA 5S ribosomal RNA
GCCAGCAGCCAUAUCACCCUGCAACUCACAACUGGCAACCUACUGAAGCCAAGCAGGUGUGAGCCUGGUCAGUACCUGGAUGGGAGACCUCCUGGGAAAAACUAAGGUUGCUGCGGAAG